GUGAAGCCCAGCUCGCUGGGUGGAUCAGUGGCGAACGGGUGAGUAACACGUGAGCAACCUGCCCUCCACUUCGGGAUAAGCCUUGGAAACGGGGUCUAAUACCGGAUAUGAGCUCGCAUCGCAUGGUGUGGGUUGGAAAGUUUUUCGGUGGGGGAUGGGCUCGCGGCCUAUCAGCUUGUUGGUGGGGUGAUGGCCUACCAAGGCGUCGACGGGUAGCCGGCCUGAGAGGGCGACCGGCCACACUGGGACUGAGACACGGCCCAGACUCCUACGGGAGGCAGCAGUGGGGAAUAUUGCACAAUGGGCGCAAGCCUGAUGCAGCGACGCCGCGUGAGGGAUGACGGCCUUCGGGUUGUAAACCUCUUUCAGCAGGGAAGAAGCGCAAGUGACGGUACCUGCAGAAGAAGCGCCGGCUAACUACGUGCCAGCAGCCGCGGUAAUACGUAGGGCGCAAGCGUUGUCCGGAAUUAUUGGGCGUAAAGAGCUCGUAGGCGGUCUGUCGCGUCUGGUGUGAAAUCCCGAGGCUCAACCUCGGGCUUGCAUCGGGUACGGGCAGACUAGAGUGCGGUAGGGGAGACUGGAAUUCCUGGUGUAGCGGUGGAAUGCGCAGAUAUCAGGAGGAACACCGAUGGCGAAGGCAGGUCUCUGGGCCGCAACUGACGCUGAGGAGCGAAAGCAUGGGGAGCGAACAGGAUUAGAUACCCUGGUAGUCCAUGCCGUAAACGUUGGGCACUAGGUGUGGGGCUCAUUCCACGAGUUCCGUGCCGCAGCUAACGCAUUAAGUGCCCCGCCCGGGGAGUACGGCCGCAAGGCUAAAACUCAAAGGAAUUGACGGGGGCCCGCACAAGCGGCGGAGCAUGCGGAUUAAUUCGAUGCAACGCGAAGAACCUUACCAAGGCUUGACAUGUACGAGAAAGCCCCCGAGACGGGGUUCUCUUUGGACACUCGUACACAGGUGGUGCAUGGUUGUCGUCAGCUCGUGUCGUGAGAUGUUGGGUUAAGUCCCGCAACGAGCGCAACCCUCGUCCUAUGUUGCCAGCGGGUUAUGCCGGGGACUCAUGGGAGACUGCCGGGGUCAACUCGGAGGAAGGUGGGGAUGACGUCAAAUCAUCAUGCCCCUUAUGUCUUGGGCUUCACGCAUGCUACAAUGGCCGGUACAGAGGGCUGCGAUACCGUAAGGUGGAGCGAAUCCCAAAAAGCCGGUCUCAGUUCGGAUUGGGGUCUGCAACUCGACCCCAUGAAGUCGGAGU
rnacentral:rRNA from 1 species